AACUUUGUGCAGUGGCAGCAUCGUAGCCAAUGAGGGUUAUCCAAGGGUGAUCAUUGCUAAUUGAAAACUAAAAACAAUGAAUACAUGCAGUUGUGAAAAAUAUGCGUACCUUUAAUGAAG
rnacentral:snRNA from 1 species